UCCCUCGGCAAUGGGCAAGGAGACACUUUGUUGGUGGUGGUGUUCUUAUACUAGUCAGGGGCAGAGCAGAUAGCAGUCCUUUGUCCAUCUAGCUUGAUGCCUGGCUUGGUGGCCAAAGCUGUCAUGUGCCAAGGACUCAUAA